rnacentral:rRNA from 1 species
UGCAGAUCUGGUCGAUUCUGCCAGAGGUCACUGCUAUCGGGGUUCGAUUAAGCCAUGCGAGUCGAGAGGGUUCGGCCCUCGGCGUACUGCUCAGUAACACGUGGAUAACCUGCCCUAGGGAAGGGGAUAACCCCGGGAAACUGGGGAUAAUACCCUAUAGAUUACAGAUGCUGGAAUGCCCUGUAAUCCAAAGUUCCGACGCCCUAGGAUGGAUCUGCGGCCGAUUAGGUUGUUGUUGGGGUAAUGGCCCAACAAGCCCGUAAUCGGUACGGGUUGUGGGAGCAAGAGCCCGGAGUUGGAUUCUGAGACACGAAUCCAGGCCCUACGGGGCGCAGCAGGCGCGAAAACUUUACAAUGCGGGCAACCGUGAUAAGGGAACCUCGAGUGCCUGUAAAUGCAGGCUGCUCAGGUGCCUAAAACACACCUGAAGAAAGGGCCGGGCAAGACCGGUGCCAGCCGCCGCGGUAAUACCGGCGGCUCGAGUGGUGGCCGCUUUUAUUGGGCUUAAAGCGUUCGUAGCUGGGUUGUUAAGUCUCUUGGGAAAUCUGGCGGCUUAACCGUCAGGCGUCUAAGGGAUACUGGCAAUCUUGGAACCGGGAGAGGUGAGGGGUACUUCGGGGGUAGGAGUGAAAUCCUGUAAUCCUCGAGGGACCACCUGUGGCGAAGGCGCCUCACCAGAACGGCUUCGACAGUGAGGGACGAAAGCU